UAAAACCAAACUCAGUCAGUCAGUCAUACAGAGUACUUUCGUUAUCACCUACAUUAAAAUCCCGAGAUUUGUGAUCGCAAUACACAUACAAACUUCGCAGAUACUUAGAACUUCCCCGGGAAAUAAUACACAGUUUUUCAGUGGGAAUGCACCAGCCAUGUUCAUAAUGGUUAUCGGUGGUUUCUGAGUCAACGAAUAUAUUUGUACAUAAAGAUCCAUGGUUUAUUAGUCUAGCUGAAUGUGUGAUUUUCCUCGUGUUCUUCCUCCACAAAAAGUAUCCUUUAUUUGAAGCAUUUAAAACAUGUAGAGUGAUAUGAAGGAAUGGAAGUUAUAUUUAUUUCACAGGUAUAUGGUCCAAUACGAUGGGGAUAUAAGGGAUUUGCUGGCUGAGGCAUAAAGUCAUAUUAACUCUAACACUGUUCUUUACUAGAGUCCGUCGUUCUUAAACACAUUGUAAUAAAACUACGCUAUAUGUUGAAGAGGUGCUAGUAAAUAAUAUUUAUCAAAAAAUGUAAAAUGAGGCAUAAAACAAUAUUACCUCUAUCUCUCACACAUCGAAAUCAUAGAAAAGAAUUAUUUGAUGAGGUGAUUGUAAAUAAUACCAUUUGUUAAUAAUAUAACUAUGCGAUGACGAAUAAAAAAAUAACUCAAUAUCUCACACAUCGCAAUAAAAGUACGGAAUUUGAUUGAAGAGGGGCUAGUAAAAAAUACGAUUAUAUAAAUUGUACACUUGUACGCUUAAAAUGAUAUUGAUUCGGUCUCUAACCCA